rnacentral:rRNA from 1 species
AUUGAACGCUGGCGGCAGGCCUAACACAUGCAAGUCGAACGAGUGGCGGACUGGUGAGUAAUUUCUGGGAAUCUGCCUGAUGGAGGGGGAUAACUACUGGAAAAGGUAGCUAAUACCGCAUACACUCAGAUGUGCCCAGGUGGGAUUAGAGUGUUGGUGGGGUAACGGCUCACCAAGGCGACGAGUCCUAGCUGGUCUGAGAGGAGGACCAGCCACAAGGGAACUGAGACACGGGCCAGACUCCUACGGCAGGCAGCAGUGGGGAAUAGUUGACAAUGGACGAAAGCCUGAGGCAGCAAUGCCGCGUGUAUGAAGAAGGCCUUCGGGUUGUAAAGUACUUUCGGCGGGGAGGCGUUACCCGAAGAAGAAGCACCGGCUAACUCCGUGCCAGAAGCGGCGGUAAUAC